UACAAUGGCUAUAACAGCAGGGAGCUAAGGAGUAAUCCGGAGCAAAUCCUCAAAAAUAGUCCCAGUUCGAAUUGUGGGCUGAAACUCGCCCACAUGAAGUCGGAAUUGCUAGUAAUGGCAGGUCAGCAUACUGCCGUGAAUACGUUCCCGGGCCUUGUACACACCGCCCGUCACACCAUGAGAGUCUGCAACACCCGAAGUCAGUAGUUUAACUUAUCAAUCGAUGAGAGAGCGCUGCCGAAGGUGGGGCCGAUGAUUAGGGUGAAGUCGUAACAAGGUAGCCGUAUCGGAAGGUGCGGCUGGAUCACCUCCUU
rnacentral:rRNA from 1 species